rnacentral:misc_RNA from 1 species
UUUAUUUUCUUUUUUUUUUUAAUUUUAAAUCUCUCCAUUUUUUUUUUCUCCCUUUAUUUUCCCUCUCACGGUUUCUGUUCGUUACUACAGAUAUUCUAUUCUUUUAAAGCUUUUCUGUGAUAACGCUUAAUGGUAAAAUUGAACAAAGAAACAGUAAUUCUGGGUUGGAUAAGACUUAAAAUUUGAGGGACAGUAAUUGCAGUAGGCAGGGCCGAGUUGUUCCUCUUUGGACAUGAACAUG